rnacentral:rRNA from 1 species
UACAGGGGGGGCAAGCGUUGUUCGGAAUUACUGGGCGUAAAGGGUCUGUAGGUGGCCAACUAAGUCAGACGUGAAAUCCCUCAGCUUAACUGGGGAACUGCGUCUGAUACUGGAUGGCUUGAGUGCAGGAGAGGAAUGCGGAAUUCCAGGUGUAGCGGUGAAAUGCGUAGAUAUCGAGAGGAACACCAGAGGUGAAGACGGGUUGCUGGGCCGACACUGACGCUGACAGCGCGAAAGCCAGGGGAGCAAACGGG